UCCCAGCAGAGCCCUUGCAAAAGCAAAGCCCAGGGAACUAAUCCAAUAAAAAAAAAAAAAAGAAAGAAAUAGGCAAUCAGGCUCAGAGUGCAAACAAAAAAGACUGAAGGAUGAGCCGGGAGCUGGUGCCGCUUGCAGGAGGAAAACGGACCUCUCGAUCGUAAUGAAGAGUGCACAGGAAAGGCACAGACGGGAAGCACUAGUCUGGCGGAUAGCAAUCGGCCCUUCAGAUUCCCUGGCUGGGGUCACGCGGAGCUGAGCAGAACUACUUCUGCCAAGGGCAUCAGACGUUCCAGACUUCAGCCAGCUCAGACAAACCAGGAAGCCGCCCCGCAGCCACCAGACGGCCACGGGGAAGAUCCAGACCUAGAACUCUGAAGGUAACUCUCCAGCACCAUGUCUUCCUGUAUGCUGCCGCCAUGUUUCCUGCCAUGAUGUUAGAGGACUAAACCCCUAAGCUGGCCUUACCAUAUUGCUUCAGAUGGCCUAGAAUUAUGCUGGCGUUGACUUCCCACAGCUUAAAAGGAGAGACACGGCACAGCCGUCAGGAAGCAGACCAGAGGUGGGUUCCCAACCUUCAACACAUGUCCCUUCCCUGUUGACACAGUAAUGUCCAGGAAUCCUACAAGCGGUGAUGAGAUACGGCUUCCUCCUAUGAAGUCACUGGCUGUGAGGGACAGGCUGCUCGGCUACCUUCCGCCCACACAGCCCCACGGCCUGUCCUCAGCAAGAAGCUCCUGGGAGGAUGCAAGCUUGGGGACGCGGGACUGGUUUCUCUUCGUGCCGAAGCUGUAGUGUGACAGUCAACCAUUAACCCCGGUGUUCACAGCCUGCGUGGCCCUGCCCCCACGUGUGUGCUGGAAGCAGUGACCGGCACGCCGGCAGAAGGCAGAAGUGGCAGGACGGCCUUUUUGUGAGUUGGGAGAGAUCAGGGUUUGCCUUUGCUUGCUUUGAUGAACACGGCUGCCCUGUUCUGAGUUGCCCCAGGAUAGCCCCUUGUGACAAGGGACAGAGGACGGUUUUCGUUCGAUUCCUGCUCACAAGGGGUGCUGGCUGAGAAAAGAAUUACAAUUAAUUCUGUAGCUGGGGGGGCUGUAGAGAUGGCUGGGGGCCAAGAGAACUCGCUGCUUGUGGUCUGAGAAUGCUCCCAUAGGCUGGACCUGCUUGGGAAGGGUUAGGUGUGGCCUUGAUGAAGAUGUGUCACUGGGGAUGGCUUUGUGGCUUCAGAAGCACCAGCCAGGGGUUGGAGAGGUAUCUUAGUGGUUAAGAGCACCAGCUGCUUUUCCAGAGGUUCUGAGUCCAAUUCCUACAACUGUAGUUCCGUGGGAUCUGAUGCCCUCUUCUGGUGUGCACACAUGUAAAUAAAGCAUCUAUAUACAUAAAAUACAUAAAUAAUAAAUACAUCUC